GUGUAAGUUUGUUAGGAUAGACUUCCUCCAACCUGGAACUAUAUCCUCCAGUCCACGCGGUGGCGGUAACGCGCCUAACAGCUGCGUCUCCGACCAGUAGAAAUCACAGAAGAAGAAAAAGCUGCAGCGGGUAUCUCCUGAGCAGAUGAGUUAUUACACCGAACUAAUCAUCUCCAGAUUAAAUUAUUUCUGACAGUUUUACAGUUAGAUUUGAUCCAGUUUAAAAGUAAAAGCUGGUUAUUUUGUCUGUGUUUGAGGAAUUAAAACUCCGUUCUGUUUUUAAACCCGAGAAUCCCUUCUAUUGUGUGCUGGAAGAUCGCUGGACUUGAAGCAACUCCAAAUGGUGGCCUGUUGGGAAUGAGAAACUCUGACACAACAGUACAUCCUGACCAUUGGUACUGUGUACACAUCAACAUACACACACGUCUCCAUGCUGGACAUCUCAGGAGCUUUCACACAGUGCUAGGAAUAUCACGGGACAGAGAAACGCACCUCCAAAGUGAGCGAGUUUAGUGUCAACCGGUGAAAUUUGCUGUAGCGUGAACGCUUCGCCUCUGUAAGCUUCACUCUCCGUCAGGUUCACUGUAAUUAGACAUAAAAUGUACAUAAUGUUUAUUUUUCAUACAUUUAGGAUUUAAUGUUUUUUUUUUUUUUUACUC